AUUGAACGCUGGCGGCAGGCCUAACACAUGCAAGUCGAACGGUAACAGGGAUCAGCUUGCUGAUUCGCUGACGAGUGGCGGACGGGUGAGUAAUGUCUGGGAAACUGCCUGAUGGAGGGGGAUAACUACUGGAAACGGUAGCUAAUACCGCAUAACGUCGCAAGACCAAAGAGGGGGACCUUCGGGCCUCUUGCCAUCGGAUGUGCCCAGAUGGGAUUAGCUAGCAGGUGGGGUAACGGCUCACCUAGGCGACGAUCCCUAGCUGGUCUGAGAGGAUGACCAGCCACACUGGAACUGAGACACGGUCCAGACUCCUACGGGAGGCAGCAGUGGGGAAUAUUGCACAAUGGGCGCAAGCCUGAUGCAGCCAUGCCGCGUGUAUGAAGAAGGCCUUCGGGUUGUAAAGUACUUUCAGCGGGGAGGAAGGGAGUAAAGUUAAUACCUUUGCUCAUUGACGUUACCCGCAGAAGAAGCACCGGCUAACUCCGUG
rnacentral:rRNA from 1 species